rnacentral:rRNA from 1 species
GACGGAGGGUGCAAGCGUUCUUCGGAAUCAUUGGGCGUAAAGAGCGUGUAGGCGGCCGGUUAAGUCAGGUGUGAAAGACCGGGGCUCAACCUCGGAAGUGCACUUGAAACUGGUCGGCUUGAGUUCGGGAGAGGGAAGCGGAAUUCCUGGUGUAGAGGUGAAAUUCGUAGAUAUCAGGAGGAACACCGGUGGCGAAGGCGGCUUCCUGGCCCGAAACUGACGCUGAGACGCGAAAGCGUGCGGAGCAAACAUU